CGCACGCACGUGCGCACACACACACACACACACACACAAAAAUGUAUAAAACAGAAGCAGUCAGAAUACUCCAGCCUCGGGGCCUGUGAUGUAAUUAGAGCUGUUGUAUAGAUAUAGUACUGGUUAAAGUACACCCACUUUGUCAGAAAAACACCAGUCAUAUCCUCAUGGUUUGUUGUGUGGCUGUUUCCAUAUAACAACCCCAAUCAUACAAUGACUAUUGAUAACAUUGACAACAUUGAUCGAGUUGAUAAGGAGAGCUCUUUGGUCCAUAGAUCAGAGGCAGUAGAUGAAGGUCACAUCUAAUCAGCUCCUAACAAUAACAUCUACUGAAUAAACUGUUACCAACAGAGCCACUGCAGGGCUAUGGGCCCUCGUCAGAAGUAGUGCACUAUAGAGGCAAUAGAGUGCAAUUUGAGACACUCCCCAGGAGUCAUAGAUACACUAAUCUAGUAGUUACUCCUGUCCUGGAGAGAUACAGGGUUUGCUGGCUUUAGUUCCAGCCCAGCACUAACACACCUUAUUCAACCACUCCAGGGCUCGAGGAUUAGUAGAUUAGUUGAUGGAUGUGUUAGUGCAGGGUUAAAACAAACAUGUGGGCUACCAAGUGGUGCAGCGGUCUAAGGCACUGCAUCGCAGUGUUUGAGGUGUCAUUACAGACACCCGGGAUCAAAUCCAGGCUGUAUCACAACCGGCCGUGUUUGGGAUUCCCAUAGGGCGGCGCACAGUUGGCCCAGCAUUAUCUGGGUUUUGCCCGGUGUAGGCCAUCAUUAUAAAUAAGAAUUUGUUCUUAACUGACUUGCCUCGUUAAAUAAAGGUUAAAUGAAUUCUAAUUAUAUUAUAUAUAUUUUUGAAACUCUGUGGUGGUCCCCCAGGAGAGGUUUGAGACACAGUGGUCUAAUGUGAUGGGUCGUAUUCACUAGGGACAACCCAGGAGAGGUUUGAGACACAGUGGUCUAAUGUGAUUGGUCGUAUUCACUAGUGACAACCCAGGAGAGGUUUGAGACACAGUGGUCUAAUGUGAUGGGUCGUAUUCACUAGGGACAACCCAGGAGAGGUUUGAGACACAGUGGUCUAAUGUGAUUGGUCGUAUUCACUAGUGACAACCCAGGAGAGGUUUGAGACACAGUGGUCUAAUGUGAUGGGUCGUAUUCACUAGGGACAACCCAGGAGAGGUUUGAGACACAGUGGUCUAAUGUGAUUGGUCGUAUUCACUAGUGACAACCCAGGAGAGGUUUGAGACACAGUGGUCUAAUGUGAUGGGUCGUAUUCACUAGGGACAACCCAGGAGAGGUUUGAGACACAGUGGUCUAAUGUGAUGGGUCGUAUUCACUAGGGACAACCCAGGAGAGGUUUGAGACACAGUGGUCUAAUGUGAUGGGUCGUAUUCACUAGGGACAACCCAGGAGAGGUUUGAGACACAGUGGUCUAAUGUGAUGGGUCGUAUUCACUAGGGACAACCCAGGAGAGGUUUGAGACACAGUGGUCUAAUGUGAUGGGUCGUAUUCACUAGGGACAACCCAGGAGAGGUUUGAGACACAGUGGUCUAAUGUGAUGGGUCGUAUUCACUAGGGACAACCCUGGAGAGGUUUGAGACACAGUGGUCUAAUGUGAAGGGUCGUAUUCACUAGGGACAACCCAGGAGAGGUUUGAGACACAGUGGUCUAAUGUGAUGGGUCGUAUUCACUAGGGACAACCCUGGAGAGGUUUGAGACACAGUGGUCUAAUGUGAUGGGUCGUAUUCACUAGGGACAACCCAGGAGAGGUUUGAGACACAGUGGUCUAAUGUGAUUGGUCGUAUUCACUAGGGACAACCCAGGAGAGGUUUGAGACACAGUGGUCUAAUGUGAUGGGUCGUAUUCACUAGGGACAACCCAGGAGAGGUUUGAGACACAGUGGUCUAAUGUGAUUGGUUGUAUUCACUAGCGACAACCCAGGAGAGGUUUGAGACACAGUGGUCUAAUGUGAUUGGUCGUAUUCACUAGGGACAACCCAGGAGAGGUUUGAAACACAGUGGUCUAAUGUGAUGGGUCGUAUUCACUAGGGACAACCCAGGAGAGGUUUGAGACACAGUGGUCUAAUGUGAUGGGUUGUAUUCACUAGGGACAACCCAGGAGAGGUUUGAGACACAGUGGUCUAAUGUGAUGGGUUGUAUUCACUAGGGACAACCCAGGGGAAAAUGGACUGAACAGGGAGGGACGAGCUAAACUUCAUUUUGGUUUUCCAUCGCAAAACGUUUUGCUAUGGCUACGAUGUACACUAAUGAUGUAAUGAUGAGUAGAACCCUGUUGUAACGUGUCUCUCUA